GACGAACGCUGGCGGCGUGCCUAAUACAUGCAAGUAGAACGCUGAAAAGAGGAGCUUGCUCUUCUUGGAUGAGUUGCGAACGGGUGAGUAACGCGUAGGUAACCUGCCUGGUAGCGGGGGAUAACUAUUGGAAACGAUAGCUAAUACCGCAUGAAAUUGCUUAUCGCAUGAUAAUUGAUUGAAAGAUGCAAUUGCAUCACUACCAGAUGGACCUGCGUUGUAUUAGCUAGUUGGUGAGGUAACGGCUCACCAAGGCGACGAUACAUAGCCGACCUGAGAGGGAGAUCGGCCACACUGGGAAUGAGACACGGCCCAGAAUCCUACGGGAGGCAGCAGGAGGGAAUCAUCGGCAAUGGGGGGAACGCUGACCGAGCAACGACGCGGGAGUGAAGGAGGGUUUCGGAUCGUAAAGGUCUGUUGGAAGAGAAGAAAGGGUGUGAGAGUGAAAAGUUCACACUGUGACGGUAUCUAACCAGAAAGGGACGGCUAACUACGUG
rnacentral:rRNA from 1 species